rnacentral:misc_RNA from 1 species
AAGUCGUAACAAGGUUUCCGUAGGUGAACCUGCGGAAGGAUCAUUAGAAAUUUUUUAUGUAUUCAAAAUUUCAAUCUAUAAAAAAUUUUAUAUUUUUAUUUAUAUAAAAUAAAAAAAAAGACAACUUUCAACAACGGAUCUCUUGGCUCUU